rnacentral:rRNA from 1 species
AGCGGAGGAAAAGAAACCAACAGGGAUUGCCUUAGUAGCGGCGAGUGAAGCGGCAAAAGCUCAAAUUUGAAAUCUGGCACCUUCGGUGUCCGAGUUGUAAUUUGAAGAUUGUAACCUUGGGGUUGGCUCUUGUCUAUGUUUCUUGGAACAGGACGUCACAGAGGGUGAGAAUCCCGUGCGAUGAGAUGCCCAAUCCUAUGUAAGGUGCUUUCGAAGAGUCGAGUUGUUUGGGAAUGCAGCUCUAAGUGGGUGGUAAAUUCCAUCUAAAGCUAAAUAUUGGCGAGAGACCGAUAGCGAACAAGUACAGUGAUGGAAAGAUGAAAAGAACUUUGAAAAGAGAGUGAAAAAGUACGUGAAAUUGUUGAAAGGGAAGGGUUUGAGAUCAGACUCGAUAUUUUGUGAGCCUUGCCUUCGUGGCGGGGUGACCCGCAGCUUAUCGGGCCAGCAUCGGUUUGGGCGGUAGGAUAAUGGCGUAGGAAUGUGACUUUGCUUCGGUGAAGUGUUAUAGCCUGCGUUGAUGCUGCCUGCCUAGACCGAGGACUGCGAUUUUAUCAAGGAUGCUGGCAUAACUGAUCCCAAACCGCCCGUCUUGAAACCACGGACCA